AUUUAUAUAAUAUGAUGCAGCUUAGAAAGUACUUUUCGCACAUAUAAUCCCACUUCAUCUGGUGCUGUAUACCACGUGUUAGCGGUUUCAAUAAUUAGGUCUUUGGAGUAGAAACCUGUGAGGAAAGUAAUAC